CAAUCGGAUUGGCAUCUGAGCCUUGCAGGAUGGAGGGACCUCAUCUCCUGCUCCCUCUUGCAGGAACACAGAGAAGGUACCCACUGUGGGACGAGGUGGAGGAGCACAGGACUUGAAGAGACAGCUUGGCUUCAACACUGGCCCCUGCUGCCUUCCACUGCACCUGCUUGCACAAGUCCCAUCAUCUCUGCUGCAGCCUCAACUUUCAUAUCUGUUGCAUACGGCUGCCUUUGUGUUGCAUCACCAGAGUUGAGGACUGUGUGUGUGUGGCAGCAACAGAGGACACACGGUCCAUAAGGCUGAAGCUGUCUACCAUCUGGCCCUUGUCAGGGAGAGCUUGCCAGGUCCUGCUGUUCCUAUAGCCUCCUGUACCCUCAGCACCCAUCGGUAUCUGAGUUGAUGAAUCAGUCUGCUUCCUUGCUUUUCUUUUUUCUCCCCCACCUAGAAUGUAAGUGCCGUCCAAGUCCAUGGACUCAUCUCUCUUGAUCUGAGUGUCUUCAUUAUUUCUUAGCACAGUGCCUAACACAGAGCCAAUAAAUAACGGUAGCCCAGAUGGAGUUGGGUCUAUUUGCUUUUGCUUUAUUGCCA
ensembl:lncRNA